CGGUGUAACGCCAGAGGGCAGGUAACUGCUGAUUUUCACUACCUAAGGCUAGGUCUUUUGGUGAUUUUGUGUUUUUUGGGACUCUCCAUGCGGGUGUUGGAGGGGCAAAGAUAACUUCCAUAAUCAAGUGCGAUAUCAGAAGAAAUACGCCCCGCGAAAUUUUAGAAUUCUACUAAAGUUGGAUAUAGCCAAUUUUGUAAUUGUUAGAGAUAAUCACAAACUUAAGCACCUUUUUGAUGUUAAAUGGACAGGCCAUGAGGUUGUUGGUACUAAAGGUGAUGUAACCUACGAGAUUUUGAGAAAUGGUAAGAUUAUAGGCGUCCAUAUCAAUGAUAUUAGACCUGCAUUUUUUCAUAAGUAUACAGUUACCAUGAGAAAGUUCGCAUCCGAAUCAUCAAUUCAUGAGCCAUUGUUUCAGCCCUCAUCCAAACAAAUUGUCGAGUUUCCAGAUUUGACUGCUUCUUGAGCGGGAUAGCUCAAGUUCGAAUGGUGAACUGAUCUUAGAACGACGCCAUUGCACAAUUAUCCUGGAUAAUUCAACCUCUUACAGCGACGGGCACAACUUCAAAAAGCCGAACUUGCGCUUACAAAGAAAGAAGCCCCCAGAGAAUCGUCAAGCGAGUCGUGAUUUCAAACUAUCAUCCCCUAUGAAGAGGUCACCCAGAGUACGCAAAGUUCGCAAUAAAUGUAAUUGUUGCGACUAAGUAGAAAUGCCAAAUUGGAUCUGUGUGGACAAUAUCUGAUUUAAUUUCCACUGUUUUCUUAAUCAUGAUAAUAUGUAGUAAUUUUGAGUUUGAAGAAUUGCUUUGUAAUAAUAUAAUAAUAAUAAUAUUUAUUCAAUUUAAACUUUACAAUAACAUAAUCUAUAAAACUGAUUUAAGUGGAAUAAAUGUUUUGUUUCACUGAAGCAUUGCGAAAUGCUUAUGCGUGACACACCAAUAUUAAAUGAAACCAAUAAUAAUUACAAUAAUAACAACGAGGCAAAGAAUCUGCUUGUUACAUUUAUAGUAAUAUAAUAUAUACUCAUACAUGUAAGCAAAAAUAAAAAAAAUAAAACGAGGAUAAAAACAUUAACUCACUAGACAUGUGAAUAUACAUAAUUCAAGGCUUAUUUACGUUUGAUAUUUUAAGUUAAUGAGGUUAUCAAAAAGUCGUCUGCCCAUCUGAAACAUCCAUAUCUUGACAUCUUUUUUAAAUUUUGUAAAGAUGGUUUGUUCUCUUAUAUAUGCUGGUAGCAUGUUAUAUAACCUAGGUGAGAAUAUAAUGAUCGUUGUCCGUGUGUUUUUGUUCUAACUGUGGGAUAGACGUCCUUGUUUUGUCUGUUUAUGGUAUGAUAAGUGCAUAGCAUUUGGAUGUCUUUUAAUAUACUAAAGCAGUAUAACUGACGUAUCUCGAGAAUUUCAUUCUCCUCAAACAGUAGGUCCGAUGGGUAAGUUUUUUGUUUGCUAUAAAUUAUUUUUAGAAACCACUUUUGCAACACAUUUAGAUUUUUCAGGUCGUUUUCAGAGACCCCGCCCCAACCCAGGAUGCUAUAGGAAAGGUGAGUUUGUACUAAUGACAUAUAUUUCGGCUUAAAAAAUCUCGUAGAUUCCACUUGGGCUGAGUCAAUAGUAACACCAAGAUAAUUAAACGAUGUUACUUGCGGAAUUCCUGUCAUUUCAACUGUUAGAUUUCCGAUGUUUGGGAGUUGAUUUUAUAUAUAUAGAAUGAGAAAGGUAGCUAUUUGGUCUUCUGUAAAUUCAAUGUUUGGAGGUAGAACAGAUGCGAUUGACACAACUCCACAACGCAGACGAAGAAGUUUGAUUUUUAUUAAUUUCAUUUUGUACAUGUUUACGCUUAGCAUUUUUUAUUUGCACCCGCAAUUUAUUUUUAUAACUGUUGUAACCGCUUUUUAAUAAUUGGUUGUUCGGGUUCUUAACUAAGUCUCUAUAUAAUUGUUUUUUUCCCUAAUUGUUUUUUGUAGCUCUUUCGUCAUCCAUUCUUUUUUAAAAUUAUUUUUAUGUUUAUAAAAAAUGUUAUUUGUGUUAUUUUCUAUGUACGUCUAUAAUUUAUUAAUAAAAUUUUCCAUGGCAGCGUUUGCCAACCAAUUUUCCCUCUGCAAGACAUGUCUCAAACUAGGAUAAUUAGUGUAUUUUUAUUUACGAUUAUAUCUUUGUCUUUUUUUGAGUUGCUAUUAGGAGGGAUGGAAAUAGCUAUUGGAUAAUGAUCCGUGAUGUCAACAUCAAAGAUAAACGAUUUUGAAUUAUUUACUAUAUGGGCUGGUCCUUUUAUGAAAAAGUGAUCUAAACAAAACAAACAAACAAAGAUCUUGCUCUUGUAACUUUAUUAAUGUAGGAUGUGAAUGUGUAUUUUGUUAAGAUGUUUUUGUAUUCUUCAACAUAAUCGACAUCACUUAAUAAAUCAAUGUUGAUAUCCCCAACCAAUUUAUGAAAACUGUAUUUCUUCCUAUCAUCCAAAUAUUGAAGUAAAUGCAUGUUAAACUGGACCUCGUCUAUUCUAGGUGAUUUAUGGAUACAACUUAGAAGAACAUUUUGAUUGUUUACUGAGAUAAUACCAAUAAUAAUAAUACUAAUACUUUUGUAUCCCAUUUGUACAGUGUUAUACUCAAAAUUUAGUUGCGAUUUCAUAUAUACAAUGACACCAUAAUUCCUAUUUACAUUACCAUUGUUAUAAAGAAUAUUGUAACCCUUUAAAUUGAAGGGAGUUUUGUUUAUAUCAUACUGGAUAAAUGUUUCGGACAGCACAAUUACAUCAAACUCUGUAACAAAACUGUCAAGAAACAAAGAAAAUUCCUCAAAGUUUUUGCUUAAGCUGCCUAUGUAAAUGUGAAUUAUUUUAAAAUCGAUUGCAUUGAGAAAUGUAUUAUUAAAUAU